rnacentral:tRNA from 1 species
AGAAUAAUAGUUUAAAUUAAAAUAUUUAAUUUGCAUUUAAAAGAUAAUAUAAAUUUUAUUUUA